AUUGAACGCUGGCGGCAGGCCUAACACAUGCAAGUCGAGCGGUAGCACAGAGAGCUUGCUCUCGGGUGACGAGCGGCGGACGGGUGAGUAAUGUCUGGGAAACUGCCUGAUGGAGGGGGAUAACUACUGGAAACGGUAGCUAAUACCGCAUAACGUCGCAAGACCAAAGUGGGGGACCUUCGGGCCUCAUGCCAUCAGAUGUGCCCAGAUGGGAUUAGCUAGUAGGUGGGGUAAUGGCUCACCUAGGCGACGAUCCCUAGCUGGUCUGAGAGGAUGACCAGCCACACUGGAACUGAGACACGGUCCAGACUCCUACGGGAGGCAGCAGUGGGGAAUAUUGCACAAUGGGCGCAAGCCUGAUGCAGCCAUGCCGCGUGUGUGAAGAAGGCCUUCGGGUUGUAGAGCACUUUCAGCGGGGAGGAAGGCGAUAAGGUUAAUAACCUCAUCGAUUGACGUUACCCGCAGAAGAAGCACCGGCUAACUCCGUGCCAGCAGCCGCGGUAAUACGGAGGGUGCAAGCGUUAAUCGGAAUUACUGGGCGUAAAGCGCACGCAGGCGGUCUGUCAAGUCGGAUGUGAAAUCCCCGGGCUCAACCUGGGAACUGCAUUCGAAACUGGCAGGCUAGAGUCUUGUAGGGGGGGGUAGAAUUCCAGGUGUAGCGGUGAAAUGCGUAGAGAUCUGGAGGAAUACCGGUGGCGAAGGCGGCCCCCUGGACAAAGACUGACGCUCAGGUGCGAAAGCGUGGGGAGCAAACAGGAUUAGAUACCCUGGUAGUCCACGCCGUAAACGAUGUCGAUUUGGAGGUUGUGCCCUUGAGGCGUGGCUUCCGGAGCUAACGCGUUAAAUCGACCGCCUGGGGAGUACGGCCGCAAGGUUAAAACUCAAAUGAAUUGACGGGGGCCCGCACAAGCGGUGGAGCAUGUGGUUUAAUUCGAUGCAACGCGAAGAACCUUACCUGGUCUUGACAUCCACAGAACUUUCCAGAGAUGGAUUGGUGCCUUCGGGAACUGUGAGACAGGUGCUGCAUGGCUGUCGUCAGCUCGUGUUGUGAAAUGUUGGGUUAAGUCCCGCAACGAGCGCAACCCUUAUCCUUUGUUGCCAGCGGUCCGGCCGGGAACUCAAAGGAGACUGCCAGUGAUAAACUGGAGGAAGGUGGGGAUGACGUCAAGUCAUCAUGGCCCUUACGACCAGGGCUACACACGUGCUACAAUGGCAUAUACAAAGAGAAGCGACCUCGCGAGAGCAAGCGGACCUCAUAAAGUAUGUCGUAGUCCGGAUUGGAGUCUGCAACUCGACUCCGUGAAGUCGGAAUCGCUAGUAAUCGUAGAUCAGAAUGCUACGGUGAAUACGUUCCCGGGCCU
rnacentral:rRNA from 1 species